AUUCAUUCUGUUCUAUUUUUCAGUGUGAGUCAGUGAGUGACCGGUGACUGGCUGCUGCAGCCAAUGAUGCGAUUCACAUACGUAUUUACCAUAGACUGUAUACAAUGGUAUUUACGCAGCUAAUCAACGUCAGGCGUCCUUAUGUGCAGCCAUCGUUGUUGUCAUAGAUAUGAAUGAGUAGAUAGGACACGCCCCUUUGAGCUGCGUGCUACAGCGAGGCUAAGCUAGUGGGGGCAAAGUUUCAGUGCAUUCCGUUGAUGUAGACGGCGUGAAAACGGAAACAAGAAGUAUGCCGGCUCACUGUGCUGCAUACAAUUACACACUACGUCGUACGAUUGAGACAAGGAAACUUGGAAUGACUUUUCAUAGGUUUCCCAGAGACUAUGGGUUGAGGAGGAAUUGGAAGUUUGUCGGCUUAGACCUGGUGUCAUUCCAUCAGUGUUAAACUUCCCGGCUCAUCUUGGAAGAGUACGUGCCAGAAAGACCACGACCAAGCAGCCUUGAGAUCUUAGGCAGCGUCUCCCUGAGACCAAAGAACUACAGACUCUUCACAACCUGCUCAAACUCUUGGUACAGGACCUCACCACACGGGUCAAGAAGGUUUCUGUCUCAUUUCUACUCUGAAGCUCACCUUCUCCUGCUCAAACUGCUGACAAAUGUUUCUGCUGCUCUAAAGUCUGGUCUCCAGAACUUCCUAAAAACUCUCAAAGUCUAUUCUGCUGCAGGUUGCUUUGUAGAACUGUUCCAGAAAACCUCACUAAACCACAUGGAGGGGCCUCAAGAUAGUUGUCCAAAUGAAACCAUACAAAAACCAAACUAGCACAUCCCAAACGCUAAAGUCUCCUGCAGCCUACCAGAGAACCUCUGAGAACAGAGAAUCAGGACAGGAACUCUUACCUUCUGGACAACCAACGCUGGUUCACAAGAAUACAGAAUGUAUCUGACCAAAAACCUCUGAAGACUCACUACAGCCAAGAUAAAGACACAACUCACCUGCACCAAAUCCACUAAUCACUGCACACAUUAGCACCAUGUGCUAACUGUGGCUGAAGAACCACAUUUACCAAGACAACUAUCAGUACAAAGCCCUAAAACACACCAAGAAACACAUUAAAGACGAUUUUACUGCUGGAAGCUGCAAGCCAACACCUAAAGAACAAACUCAAGCAACGGAGCCAAACCCAGUUCACUGGUGAAGAGAAGCAGAGGAAAUAUUUGUCUGCAGCUAAAUAAAGCAGGAAGACACUGAGCUGCUCAGGUGUUCCUGAUAACACCAAGCAGCCACCUGGACAGCCAAUAGGAACACAGCUUCCUGGAAGUGCAGAGGGCGGGGUUAGUGAAGGAAAUUUAGUUUAAAGUUGAAGCAGAAAGUUAAUAAAGAAAGUUGAAAACCACCUUCUGAUACCUGAAAUCUCUGAGUUUUCACACAAAGAACACCUGAACAUGUCAAACUGGUUCCAUAGUAGAACCAUCAUUGUAAAAAUGUCAUAGUAUGGUGUGUUGCUCAAAAAACAUUAGGACCCGGCUGUCAGGGGACAAACAUGUAAGAAACAUGAGAACAGAGAGAACCCAACCAGUAGGUCACAGUUUAUCAUCAUCUAAUCAUCUCCUGAAGUCCAUAUGGUGAGAGACAUCAGUAUCUGGUUGUUCAUUUACCAGAGGAUGCUUAUAAUCAUGCUGAUGUGGUCUGUACUCUACAGUAUUUUAGUGACUCAAUAAAUGCCUAAGUUGUUUUUUUUAAAUGCUUUUUAGUUUUUAAUAAACAUUUAACAGCCUAUAUGUAAUCAAUAAAUGGCCUUUGCCUAUCUUAAGAAAAAUUCACUCAGAACUCUGAUAUGUUAACAGUAGUAAAUAAAUCAAUAAAUACAUGCAUACACACAUAAAUAAGUUAAUACAUUAACUGUGUUAAGAUUUAGAUUUUAAAAAAAGUUGUUUAUGUUUUUGCAGAAUCCAGUAUUGCUCACUGGUUGGUCAUUACAUUUUAUUAGUUUGAUUUCACUGUUUAAAAUGAUGCCACCUCUUUUCAGACAGAACCUGUGAUAAUAAAACAAUACAACAUUUUUAGUUCCGUGUUAAUAAAGCACUUAAAGCUUUAAGUAUGGCUAAAUGCUUUUUUCAAAAUUAAAUAUGUCACUCCUUAGGUGGUAGUGGCCCCAAGUUCAGUAAAGUUGGAAAGAUAUUCACAGAUUGGGACUUCCAGCAUCAAUAACUCAUUAGAUAUAGGUUGUCAAAACAUAAACGGUGCCUCUUUCCCAUUGUUGCAAGGCAGACAAUGUGCUACAAGCCCAGUUUUAUCAAAAGUAGCUGUCUUUCAAGCUACAGGAAUAACACUGGUGUCUAUGGAGUGAACAGGGUCCGUCUGCAAUUU